GGGUCGGAACUUCGGUUUCGGCUUACGUGGCGCACGGGUGAGUAACACGUGGGAAUCUGCCCAUCUAUGGGGAAUAACUGCGGGAAACUGCAGCUAAUACCGCAUACGCCCUUCGGGGGAAAGGCUUCGGCCGUAGAUGGAUGAGCCCGCGUCCGAUUAGCUAGUUGGUGGGGUAAUGGCCUACCAAGGCGACGAUCGGUAGCUGGUCUGAGAGGAUGAUCAGCCACACUGGGACUGAGACACGGCCCAGACUCCUACGGGAGGCAGCAGUGGGGAAUAUUGGACAAUGGGCGAAAGCCUGAUCCAGCAAUGCCGCGUGAGUGAUGAAGGUCUUCGGAUUGUAAAGCUCUUUCGACGGGGAAGAUAAUGACGGUACCCGUAGAAGAAGCCCCGGCUAACUUCGUGCCAGCAGCCGCGGUAAUACGAAGGGGGCUAGCGUUGUUCGGAUUUACUGGGCGUAAAGCGUGCGUAGGCGGCUUAUCAAGUCAGAAGUGAAAGCCCGGGGCUCAACUCCGGAAUGGCUUUUGAGACUGGUAGGCUGGAGUUCGGGAGAGGGUAGUGGAAUUCCCAGUGUAGAGGUGAAAUUCGUAGAUAUUGGGAAGAACACCGGUGGCG
rnacentral:rRNA from 1 species